rnacentral:rRNA from 1 species
CAAUAGCGUAUAUUAAUGUUGUUGCAGUUAAAAAGCUCGUAGUUGGAUUUCGAAUGGGAGCGGCUGGUCGGCCCCGCAAGGGGUCGCAACCUGGUUCGUCUCCGGUUCUGAUUCGGGAUCUUUCUGUUGGUCGUGGCCUUGAUUGGUUGCGGCUGAUGGCCCGUCGUUUACUGUGAACAAAUUAGAGUGUUCCAAGCAAGGCUUGACUUGAAUACAUUAGCAUGGAAUAAUAAGAUAGGACUUUGGUGGUUUCUGCGGGGGGGCUUCUCGCCCUCCUGUAGGAUAUUUUGUUGGUUUGCACGCCGAAGUAAUGGUUAAUAGGAGCAGUUGGGGGUAUUCGUAUUCAAUUGUCAGAGGUGAAAUUCUUGGAUUUCUAGAAGACGAACUACUGCGAAAGCAUUUACCAAGGAUGUUUUCAUUAA